AUUGAACGCUGGCGGCAUGCCUUACACAUGCAAGUCGAACGGUAACGGGCCUUCGGGUGCCGACGAGUGGCGAACGGGUGCGUAAUACAUCGGAACGUGCCCGAUCGUGGGGGAUAACGAGGCGAAAGCUUUGCUAAUACCGCAUACGAUCUACGGAUGAAAGCAGGGGACCGCAAGGCCUUGCGCGGACGGAGCGGCCGAUGGCAGAUUAGGUAGUUGGUGGGAUAAAAGCUUACCAAGCCGACGAUCUGUAGCUGGUCUGAGAGGAUGAUCAGCCACACUGGGACUGAGACACGGCCCAGACUCCUACGGGAGGCAGCAGUGGGGAAUUUUGGACAAUGGGCGCAAGCCUGAUCCAGCCAUGCCGCGUGCAGGAUGAAGGCCUUCGGGUUGUAAACUGCUUUUGUACGGAACGAAAAGCCUUCUUUUAAUACAGGAGGGUCAUGACGGUACCGUAAGAAUAAGCACCGGCUAACUACGUG
rnacentral:rRNA from 1 species